rnacentral:lncRNA from 1 species
CUACCUGACAUCUGUAUUAUUUGCAGAAAAGAUCUGAAAGCAUUCCUGAGAUUUUAUUCAACCAGAAGAGUCAGGCCAGAAACGGUUUAAAUCUAUUGUGUUAGAAAAAGAAAGGAAAACUGGGAUGUGGAAGACAAGGAGAGCUGUGUGUGCUUCACCUCCUCUUGGACUGCGUGUGAAUGUGUUCCCUGGACUCACAUGGGGACAACGAUGGGAGAAGGCGAGAAGUGUGUUCCCUAUAGGCACAGCUCUGCGGCCAGGCACGACCAGCCCUCUCUCCUUCAGGCCCAAGCUCCCAGGAAGCAGCACAUGCCAAGCGGAGCAGAAGACAGUGGCAAAAGUCAGGAGAUUGCUCCUUUCUGGACUGGGCAGCCGAGUGUUUCCUCUGCUGUCCCAGGAGGUGUGUGCACAGGUGCUUCGAAGACCGUAGGGCCCCGCAGUCAACAGACACCGAACCGAGGACACGCAGAUGUGUUGUGGGCACUGUUGCUCAUUUUAUGUGUGUGCACUGUAACAUGUGCUGCUGCUUAA